UAGCGGCGGACGGGUGAGUAACACGUGGGUAACCUGCCUGUAAGACUGGGAUAACUCCGGGAAACCGGAGCUAAUACCGGAUAGUUCCUUGAACCGCAUGGUUCAAGGAUGAAAGACGGUUUCGGCUGUCACUUACAGAUGGACCCGCGGCGCAUUAGCUAGUUGGUGGGGUAAUGGCUCACCAAGGCGACGAUGCGUAGCCGACCUGAGAGGGUGAUCGGCCACACUGGGACUGAGACACGGCCCAGACUCCUACGGGAGGCAGCAGUAGGGAAUCUUCCGCAAAUGGACGAAAGUCUGACGGAGCAACGCCGCGUGAGUGAUGAAGGUUUUCGGAUCGUAAAGCUCUGUUGUUAGGGAAGAACAAGUGCGAGAGUAACUGCUCGCACCUUGACGGUACCUAACCAGAAAGCCACGGCUAACUACGUGCCAGCAGCCGCGGUAAUACGUAGGUGGCAAGCGUUGUCCGGAAUUAUUGGGCGUAAAGGGCUCGCAGGCGGUUUCUUAAGUCUGAUGUGAAAGCCCCCGGCUCAACCGGGGAGGGUCAUUGGAAACUGGGAAACUUGAGUGCAGAAGAGGAGAGUGGAAUUCCACGUGUAGCGGUGAAAUGCGUAGAGAUGUGGAGGAACACCAGUGGCGAAGGCGACUCUCUGGUCUGUAACUGACGCUGAGGAGCGAAAGCGUGGGGAGCGAACAGGAUUAGAUACCCUGGUAGUCCACGCCGUAAACGAUGAGUGCUAAGUGUUAGGGGGUUUCCGCCCCUUAGUGCUGCAGCUAACGCAUUAAGCACUCCGCCUGGGGAAGGUACGGUCGCAAGACUGAAACUCAAAGGAAUUGACGGGGGCCCGCACAAGCGGUGGAGCAUGUGGUUUAAUUCGAAGCAACGCGAAGAACCUUACCAGGUCUUGACAUCCUCUGACAACCCUAGAGAUAGGGCUUUCCCUUCGGGGACAGAGUGACAGGUGGUGCAUGGUUGUCGUCAGCUCGUGUCGUGAGAUGUUGGGUUAAGUCCCGCAACGAGCGCAACCCUUGAUCUUAGUUGCCAGCAUUCAGUUGGGCACUCUAAGGUGACUGCCGGUGACAAACCGGAGGAAGGUGGGGAUGACGUCAAAUCAUCAUGCCCCUUAUGACCUGGGCUACACACGUGCUACAAUGGACAGAACAAAGGGCUGCAAGACCGCAAGGUUUAGCCAAUCCCAUAAAUCUGUUCUCAGUUCGG
rnacentral:rRNA from 1 species